CAAAAAUGUCCGUUUUUGAGCAACUACGCCCAUUCGUAAGCCUUUGUCAAGCUUGUGGCAUGAUCCCUUUUACUAUCGAACAAAAUCAGAUUACUAACAAAUUUGAGAAAUUUACUUUUUCUUUUCGACACCUCACUACCUGGUGGUUUUUCCUAGUUAUGUUUAUUGAAACUAUAGUUAUGAGCGUGAUGGGAUACGUCUCUUUCAUUCAAACAUUUGAUAUGCUAAACGGUCAAAAUUUGCCUAUCACUGUAAUUAUCCUUUUAUUUGUAAUUGGAAUGUCUUACUUCGCUCAACUACUCUUAUCUCGUUGGAUCAUUCUCCACUACCGUCAACUACGCAAUGCGAUCGAAAUCAUUCAAGAAGUGGAGAAACUUUUUGGAGAGAAGUUUAUUUCGCGACACCCGAGCUCCGUUACGACACGAUUUAUUAUCGGCUUUGUUCUCGUCGUUAUUUCGGCUAUAGGAACUUUGACUCUAUCUACUUCGGUUCACCGACAGUUUUCAUCAUUGAUUUACACGAAUAACGUCUUUGCUUCAGUUGCUACAUUUUCCACUUUAGCAUUUAUCUACUUGUUAUUUGAAUCUACAUUUUUUUUCUUUCAUAUGUGUUAUUACAUAAUUGCUUACUAUGUCCAACUUCUGAUAAUAUGCUCCGAUGACGAAAAUCAAACAAUUUCGCAGAAGACGUAAGAGCCUUUUUUGUGGUCAUCAUUUGUAGAAGUGAUGUGGUAAUCAUUUAUAUGAUUUAAAACAGGAAGGAUAGGAUAGGAGCGCUGAAAAAAAACACUCUGAUUUUGAAUUACCUUUGUCGGGCCUCACAGGAAUUAAAUGGAAUUUUUUCCGUCCCAGUUUUAAUUUUGUUGACUGCAAAAUUCAUCUCGGUCGUCACCACUGCUUUCGCAUAUAUUUACAACUGUUUUAUUCGUUCAAACGUUGUCUUGGAUAGUUACAGUUGGCUGUUUCUUUUCAUGUUUUUCACUGAUUGGAUCAAAAUUUUGAUCCUUUUUAACGCUGCUGACAUGCCCGUUAAUCAGGUUGUUACACAACAAUUUUUAACGCGCUAGCCGCUAGGUAACCUUAUUUUGUGUUGUCGCCAGAUUCGUCUUCUCCGCGACAAAGUUACCGCAAUAUCAUCUUAUGGAUUGUCUCAUUCGUUGGCCGAAAAAAUCACGUUAAUGACUUCCCUGGUGCAGAUUGACGAAAAUCGUGUCCGAUUGUCCGCUGCUGGACUGUUUAAGGUGGGGAUGCACCUUGUUCCGGCUUUGGCAGGUGCUGUAGUGACGUACAUGGUUAUCCUCCUUCAAAAUUAGAUCAGCCUAUCAGAACGGUUGAGAAAAGGAAAAGUACUCACAUAGAAAUUCGUACAUUUUGAAAAAUAUAUCUAUCUGAGCAAUUACUUAUAUGCUUACUCGUUUUGGACUUUUGGGACAAAAACAAAAGCUAAUAAAA